rnacentral:rRNA from 1 species
GACGAACGCUGGCGGCGUGCUUAACACAUGCAAGUCGAGCGGAGCGGCGAACGGGUGAGUAACGCGUGAGUAACUGCCCCCCUCUCUGGGAUAACAGUUGGAAACGGCUGCUAAUAUCGGAUAGUGGGGGAUGACUCGCGUCCUAUCAGCUUGUUGGUGGGGUAGUGUCGGACCAAGGCGACGACGGGUAGCCGGCCUGACAGGGCGACCGGCCACAUUGGGCUGAGGUACGGCCCAAACUGCGACGGAAGGCAGCAGUGGGGAAUAUUGCACAAUGGGGGAAACCCUGAUGCAGCCAUGACGCGUGUGUGAAGAAGGCCUUCGGGUUGUAAAGUACGUUCAGCGAGGAGGGUAAAUAACCGCAACGAUUGACGUUGCUCGCAGAAGAAGCACCGGCUAACUCCGUGCCAGCAGACGCGGUAAUUC